GAUGAACGCUGGCGGCGUGCCUAAUACAUGCAAGUCGAACGAGCUCUCGUUGAUGAUCGGUGCUUGCACCGAGAUUCAACAUGGAACGAGUGGCGGACGGGUGAGUAACACGUGGGUAACCUGCCCUUAAGUGGGGGAUAACAUUUGGAAACAGAUGCUAAUACCGCAUAGAUCCAAGAACCGCAUGGUUCUUGGCUGAAAGAUGGCGUAAGCUAUCGCUUUUGGAUGGACCCGCGGCGUAUUAGCUAGUUGGUGAGGUAAUGGCUCACCAAGGCGAUGAUACGUAGCCGAACUGAGAGGUUGAUCGGCCACAUUGGGACUGAGACACGGCCCAAACUCCUACGGGAGGCAGCAGUAGGGAAUCUUCCACAAUGGACGCAAGUCUGAUGGAGCAACGCCGCGUGAGUGAAGAAGGCUUUCGGGUCGUAAAACUCUGUUGUUGGAGAAGAAUGGUCGGCAGAGUAACUGUUGUCGGCGUGACGGUAUCCAACCAGAAAGCCACGGCUAACUACGUGCCAGCAGCCGCGGUAAUACGUAGGUGGCAAGCGUUAUCCGGAUUUAUUGGGCGUAAAGCGAGCGCAGGCGGUUUUUUAAGUCUGAUGUGAAAGCCCUCGGCUUAACCGAGGAAGCGCAUCGGAAACUGGGAAACUUGAGUGCAGAAGAGGACAGUGGAACUCCAUGUGUAGCGAUGAAAUGCGUAGAUAUAUGGAAGAACACCAGUGGCGAAGGCGGCUGUCUGGUCUGUAACUGACGCUGAGGCUCGAAAGCAUGGGUAGCGAACAGGAUUAGAUACCCUGGUAGUCCAUGCCGUAAACGAUGAAUGCUAGGUGUUGGAGGGUUUCCGCCCUUCAGUGCCGCAGCUAACGCAUUAAGCAUUCCGCCUGGGGAGUACGACCGCAAGGUUGAAACUCAAAGGAAUUGACGGGGGCCCGCACAAGCGGUGGAGCAUGUGGUUUAAUUCGAAGCAACGCGAAGAACCUUACCAGGUCUUGACAUCUUUUGAUCACCUGAGAGAUCAGGUUUCCCCUUCGGGGGCAAAAUGACAGGUGGUGCAUGGUUGUCGUCAGCUCGUGUCGUGAGAUGUUGGGUUAAGUCCCGCAACGAGCGCAACCCUUAUGACUAGUUGCCAGCAUUUAGUUGGGCACUCUAGUAAGACUGCCGGUGACAAACCGGAGGAAGGUGGGGAUGACGUCAAAUCAUCAUGCCCCUUAUGACCUGGGCUACACACGUGCUACAAUGGAUGGUACAACGAGUUGCGAGACCGCGAGGUCAAGCUAAUCUCUUAAAGCCAUUCUCAGUUCGGACUGUAGGCUGCAACUCGCCUACACGAAGUCGGAAUCGCUAGUAAUCGCGGAUCAGCACGCCGCGGUGAAUACGUUCCCGGGCCUUGUACACACCGCCCGUCACACCAUGAGAGUUUGUAACACCCGAAGCCGGUGGCGUAACCCUUUUAGGGAGCGAGCCGUCUAAGGUGGGACAAAUGAUUAGGGUG
rnacentral:rRNA from 2 species